rnacentral:misc_RNA from 1 species
GUAGGAGCCGGCUUGCCGGCGAUAGCGUCAGCAAGGUUGCUGCAAGGCCUGUGGGCCCUAUCGCCGGCAAGCCGGCUCCUAC